ACCUGAUAUCAUGAGGGUCUCGCCCUCAACACCGGAUCACAAGUAGGGUACACAUCAACAUAUCUAGAGAUUCUCACUAGAUGAAUUCCGUCUACAAUUUACAACAUAGACCACCUCCCACACCGGUGGAGCAUAAAAAUCACAGCUCGUAACCAGGAAUGCUUGGAAAUCACAUCAAGCCUAUCAGAACAGACAACAGGAAAUACCACUAGCCUCAUAACUCCUGACAAUGGCUAAAACAAAUGAUAGACACGACUAUCACUCAUAAAACCUCCCAACGAAAUAAUCACAUAGACAGAGUACAAAUCAUGAAACAAUCCCAUAAAUGGAACAACAAGCAAGGAACUCAACCCGAUAAGUAGAAUUGUGAUGAACUACAGAUAGUGCCUUUCUGUAAUAAACUUAAUCUGUAC
rnacentral:lncRNA from 1 species